CACCAAGCCGAUAAUCGAUAGGGGCCGUGAGAGCGGUUGCCCCGAGAUGGGUACUGAGACAGCGACCCAGGCCUUACGAGGCGCAGCAGGCGCGAGACCUCCGCAAUACACGCAAGUGUGACGGGGUUACCCAAAGUGUCCUUAUUGGACUGUGGCGGGUGAGUAAUGUUCCCCGCUAGAAAGGAGAGGGCAAGGCUGGUGCCAGCCGCCGCGGUAAAACCAGCUCUUCAAGUGGUCGGGAUAAUUAUUGGGCUUAAAGUGUCCGUAGCCGGUUUAGUAAGUUCCUGUAAAACCGGGCAGCUUAACUGUCCGUAUGCUAGGAAUACUGCUAUGCUAGAGGGCGGGAGAGGUCUGAGGUACUACAGGGGUAGGGGUGAAAUCUUAUAAUCCUUGUAGGACCACCAGUGGCGAAAGCGUCAGACUGGAACGCGCCUGACGGUGAGGGACGAAAGCCAGGGGAGCGAACCGGAUUAGAUACCCGGGUAGUCCUGGCCGUAAACGAUGCAUACUAGGCAAUGGUGCGGCCAUGGGCCGCAUCAGUACCGUAGGGAAACCGUUAAGUGUGCCGCCUGGGAAGUACGGUCGCAAGGCUAAAACUUAAAGGAAUUGGCGGGGGUGCACCACAAGGGGUGAAGCCUGCGGUUCAAUUGGACUCAACGCCGGGAAACUUACCAGGGGAGACAGCAGAAUGACAGUCAGGUUGACGACCUUACUCGACGAGCUGAGAGGAGGUGCAUGGCCGUCGCCAGUUCGUGCUGUGAGGUAUCCUGUUAAGUCAGGCAACGAACGAGAUCCGCGCCUUUAUUUGCCAUCAAGAAGUCACGACUUCGUUGGGAACACUAAAGGGACCGCCGUCGAUAAGACGGAGGAAGGAGCGGGCAAAGGCAGGUCAGUAUGCCCCGAAACCCCUGGGCUACACGCGGGCUGCAAUGGUGCGAACAAUGGCGCUGUAACUCCGAAAGGAGAUACCAAUCCCGAAAUCGCAUCUCAGUGGGGAUUGUCGACUGUAAC
rnacentral:rRNA from 1 species